rnacentral:rRNA from 1 species
UACGUAGGGGGCAAGCGUUGUCCGGAAUCAUUGGGCGUAAAGCGCGUGUAGGCGGCUCGGUAAGUCCGCUCUGAAAGUCCAGGGCUCAACCCUGGGAUGCGGGUGGAUACUGCCGGGCUCGAGUCCGGAAGAGGCGAGUGGAAUUCCUGGUGGUAGCGGUGGAAUGCGCAGAUAUCAGGAGGAACACCGGUGGCGAAGGCGGGUCUCUGGGCAGUAACUGACGCUGAGGAGCGAAAGCGUGGGGAGCGAACAGG